GCCGUACUAGAGUAAUGGUAACUCGCCAGUUUUACAUUACACUUGUGCACUGGAAAUUCCUGGUUCGAGUCCAGGGUACGGCA